rnacentral:rRNA from 1 species
UACGAAGGGUGCAAGCGUUACUCGGAAUUACUGGGCGUAAAGCGUGCGUAGGUGGUUUGUUAAGUCUGUUGUGAAAGCCCCCGGCUCAACUGGGGAGGGUCAUUCGAUACUGAUCGACUCGAAGGCAGGAGAGGGUAGUGGAAUUCCCGGUGUAGUGGUGAAAUGCGUAGAUAUCGGGAGGAACACCAGUGGCGAAGGCGACUACCUGGCCUGUUCUUGACGCUGAGGCGCGAAAGCUAGGGGAGCAAACGGG